rnacentral:rRNA from 1 species
GACCUGACUGCUAUCGGAUUGAUACUAAGCCAUGCGAGUCAUUGUAGCAAUACAAGGCAUACGGCUCAGUAACGCGUAGUCAACCUAACCUAUGGACGGGAAUAACCUCGGGAAACUGAGAAUAAUGCCCGAUAGAACAUUAUGCCUGGAAUGGUUUAUGUUCCAAAUGAUUUAUCGCCGUAGGAUGGGACUGCGGCCUAUCAGUUUGUUGGUGAGGUAAUGGCCCACCAAGACUAUUACAGGUACGGGCUCUGAGAGGAGUAGCCCGGAGAUGGGUACUGAGACACGGACCCAGGCCCUAUGGGGCGCAGCAGGCGAGAAAACUUUGCAAUGUGCGAAAGCACGACAAGGUUAAUCCGAGUGAUUUCUGCUAAAGAAAUCUUUUGUUAGUCCUAGAAACACUAACGAAUAAGGGGUGGGCAAGUUCUGGUGUCAGCCGCCGCGGUAAAACCAGCACCUCAAGUGGUCAGGAUGAUUAUUGGGCCUAAAACGUCCGUAGCCUGUUUGGUAAAUCUGUGGGUAAAUCAACCAGCUUAACUGGUUGAAUUCUGCAGAGACUGCCAGACUAGGGACCGGGAGAGGUGUGGGGUACUCGAGGGGUAGGGGUAAAAUCCUGUCAUCCUUCGAGGACCACCAGUUGCGAAGGCGCCACACUGGAACGGAUCCGACGGUCAGGGACGAAGCCUAGGGGCACGAACCGGAUUAGAUACCCGGGUAGUCCUAGGUGUAAACGCUGUGAACUUGGUGUCGGGGGUCCGCAAGGGGUCCCCGGUGCCGGAGUGAAGAUGUUAAGUUCACUGCCUGGGGAGUACGGUCGCAAGGCUGAAACUUAAAGGAAUUGGCGGGGGAGCACUGCAACGGGAGGAGCGUGCGGUUUAAUUGGAUUCAACGCCGGAAAACUCACCAGGGCCGACUGUUAUAUGAAGACCAGCGUAAUGAGCUUGUCGGAUUUUCAGAGAGGUGGUGCAUGGCCGUCGUCAGUUCGUACUGUAAAGCGUUCUGUUAAGUCAGAUAACGAACGAGACCCUCAUCUCUAUUUGCAACCUGUCUCUCCGGAGGCGGCGCACUAUAGAGAGACCGCUGGUGUGAAACCAGAGGAAGGCGAGGGCAACGACAGGUCAGUAUGCCCCGAAUGUCCUGGGCUACACGCGCGCUACAAAGGACGGGACAAUGGGAAGCUAGGCCGAGAGGCCACGCUAACCCGAAACCCGUUCAUAGUUCGGAUUGAGGGCUGCAACUCGCCCUCACGAAUAUGGAAUCCCUAGUAACUGCGUGUCAUUAUCGCGCGGUGAAUACGUCCCUGCUCC